UACGGGAGACACACGGCGGGUGCUAACGUCCGUCGUGGAGAGGGAAACAACCCAGACCGCCAGCUAAGGUCCCAAAGUAUUGCUAAGUGGGAAACGAUGUGGGAAGGCUCAGACAGCUAGGAUGUUGGCUUAGAAGCAGCCAUCAUUUAAAGAAAGCGUAAUAGCUCACUAGUCGAGUCGGCCUGCGCGGAAGAUGUAACGGGGCUAAGCAAUACACCGAAGCUGCGGCAAUAUCUUUUAGAUAUUGGGUAGGGGAGCGUUCUGUAAGCCGUUGAAGGUGAAUCGUAAGGUUUGCUGGAGGUAUCAGAAGUGCGAAUGCUGACAUGAGUAACGACAAAGGGGGUGAAAAACCUCCUCGCCGGAAGACCAAGGGUUCCUGUCCAACGUUAAUCGGGGCAGGGUGAGUCGACCCCUAAGGUGAGGCCGAAAGGCGUAAUCGAUGGGAAACGGGUUAAUAUUCCCGUACUUCUGACUAUUGCGAUGGGGGGACGGAGAAGGCUAGGUGGGCCAGGCGACGGUUGUCCUGGUUCAAGUGCGUAGGCUUGAGAGUUAGGUAAAUCCGGCUCUCUCUAAGGCUGAGACACGACGUCGAGCUGCUACGGCAGUGAAGUCAUUGAUGCCAUGCUUCCAGGAAAAGCCUCUAAGCUUCAGAUAGUCAGGAAUCGUACCCCAAACCGACACAGGUGGUCGGGUAGAGAAUACCAAGGCGCUUGAGAGAACUCGGGUGAAGGAACUAGGCAAAAUGGUACCGUAACUUCGGGAGAAGGUACGCUCUUGAUGGUGAAGUCCCUCGCGGAUGGAGCUGACGAGAGUCGCAGAUACCAGGUGGCUGCAACUGUUUAUUAAAAACACAGCACUGUGCAAAAUCGCAAGAUGACGUAUACGGUGUGACGCCUGCCCGGUGCCGGAAGGUUAAUUGAUGGGGUUAGCGCAAGCGAAGCUCUUGAUCGAAGCCCCGGUAAACGGCGGCCGUAACUAUAACGGUCCUAAGGUAGCGAAAUUCCUUGUCGGGUAAGUUCCGACCUGCACGAAUGGCGUAAUGAUGGCCACGCUGUCUCCACCCGAGACUCAGUGAAAUUGAAAUCGCUGUGAAGAUGCAGUGUACCCGCGGCUAGACGGAAAGACCCCGUGAACCUUUACUACAGCUUGGCACUGAACAUUGAACCUACAUGUGUAGGAUAGGUGGGAGGCUAUGAAGACGUGACGCCAGUUGCGUUGGAGCCGUCCUUGAAAUACCACCCUUGUAUGUUUGAUGUUCUAACUUAGACCCAUUAUCUGGGUUGAGGACAGUGCCUGGUGGGUAGUUUGACUGGGGCGGUCUCCUCCCAAAGAGUAACGGAGGAGCACGAAGGUGGGCUAAUCACGGUUGGACAUCGUGAGGUUAGUGCAAUGGCAUAAGCCCGCUUAACUGCGAGAAUGACGGUUCGAGCAGGUGCGAAAGCAGGUCAUAGUGAUCCGGUGGUUCUGUAUGGAAGGGCCAUCGCUCAACGGAUAAAAGGUACUCCGGGGAUAACAGGCUGAUACCGCCCAAGAGUUCAUAUCGACGGCGGUGUUUGGCACCUCGAUGUCGGCUCAUCACAUCCUGGGGCUGAAGUCGGUCCCAAGGGUAUGGCUGUUCGCCAUUUAAAGUGGUACGCGAGCUGGGUUUAGAACGUCGUGAGACAGUUCGGUCCCUAUCUGCCGUGGGCGUUGGAAGAUUGAAGGGGGCUGCUCCUAGUACGAGAGGACCGGAGUGGACGAACCUCUGGUGUUCGGGUUGUGUCGCCAGACGCAUUGCCCGGUAGCUAAGUUCGGAAUUGAUAAGCGCUGAAAGCAUCUAAGCGCGAAGCGAGCCCUGAGAUGAGUCUUCCC
rnacentral:rRNA from 1 species